rnacentral:sRNA from 1 species
AAAGGGGUUGAUUCAUUGAUAAGAAAAGGUAAAAGACUCUAGGUGAAGUAAGCUAAAGAAGCAGAAAAAGUCUAGUAAAGGUUUUGGGAUUUGUAAAGAAAAGAAAGAGUUCUUGUUAGCUAUUGAAGAUGGGCAAAAGCCCUUGGUUUUAGAAUGUUAAAAAACAGGAACCUUAGUUGUUAAAGAAAUCCAAAUCCGCUAGAUGUAUCAAAGUGUUGAGAAAGCUUCUCCUAGAGUUAAGAGAAAAGAAAAGAAUGAUUAGAAAAAGGGCUUAAAAGAUUCAUGAAUGCAAAGGGUAGAGUUAAGUUCUUAUAUUGGGAUUGGAGAUGGGGUUACCAUUAGAGCUUCGUUUGAUAUACUCUGGGUAGGUGGGAUCUAAUCUCUGUAUGCAUAGCUUGGGACUUACCUUUAGCAUUCUACUAAAGCUUAAUCAUUUUUUGAGAGAUCCCCUGUUACUGAAGCCUAUUCUGUAAGGGACCAUCUUUGUCUCUUGACCUUUUACCUUAGCCAAAUGAGUUCAUUGAUGAUGCAUUGCUUGAUUCACGUUCCAGAACUAAGGAAUGUUAAAGGGAUUGGUAGAUUUGAAAACUUGUGUAGGUCGAGCAUAUGAGUCGGAUUGAUUGAUAAUGAGGCAUGACUAACGUUUUUAAGUAGAAUUCGAUCUUGCAGCUUAGAACUUUCAACUUGGAAAUUGAUUUCAUCUAGUUUAUCUGGUGCUUUAGCUCUGAGUCCCCGCUUUCAAACCUCACCUCUAGCUUGUUCUUGAUUGUUUGCUUGAGGGCAAGCAAAGACUAAGUUUCGGGGAGUUGAUAAGUGUGUAUUUUGCAUAUUUUGAGCAUCCAUUUGUCAUCACUUUAGCAUCAUAUCAUCACUGUUUUAUACCAUUUCUCAUCAUUUGUCAUCACUUUACAUGUUUAGGAUAGGUUUGCAUACAUGUUGCAUAUUUGUAUUGAUUUCAGGUGAUUUAGAGCUGUUGACGAGCUAACUAGAAGAAGCGGACCUGAUCAUGACAAACCACUCGACCCCAGGUCGAGUAGAUGGCAUCACCACUUCACCUCACCACUCGACCACGAGGUCGAGCGUCCUCAUCUCCAUCACCUGACCAUUACUCGAUCACAUCACUCGACCCUGAGGUCGAGUGUCUUCACCACCAUUACCUGAUCAUCACUCGACCAUAUCACUCUACCUGGAAGUCGAGUAUCACCUUCACCACCAC